rnacentral:rRNA from 1 species
CUGGUUGAUCCUGCCAGUAGUCAUAUGCUUGUCUCAAAGAUUAAGCCAUGCAUGUCUAAGUAUAAAUAGAAUACAGUGAAACUGCGAAUGGCUCAUUAAAACAGUUAUAGUUUAUUUGAUGAUUGAAGUCUACAUGGAUAACCGUGGUAAUUCUAGAGCUAAUACAUGCAUUCAGGCCCGACUCACGAAGGGCUGUAUUUAUUAGAUAUGAAGCCAAUAUUCCGCAAGGUCUAUUGUGGUGAAUCAUAGUAACUGAUCGGAUCCCCAACUGGGGAUAGAUCAUUCAAGUUUCUGCCCUAUCAGCUUUCGAUGGUAGUGUAUUGGACUACCAUGGCAGUAACGGGUAACGGAGAAUUAGGGUUCGGUUCCGGAGAGGGAGCCUGAGAAACGGCUACCACAUCUAAGGAAGGCAGCAGGCGCGUAAAUUACCUAAUGCAGACUCUGCGAGGUAGUGACAAUACAUAACAACCUGGGGUCUCACGACUUACGGGAUUGCAAUGAGAACAAUUUAAAAACCUUAACGAGGAACAAGUGGAGGGCAAGUCUGGU